AACGAACGCUGGCGGCAUGCCUAACACAUGCAAGUCGAGCGAGACCUUCGGGUCUAGUGGCGCACGGGUGCGUAACGCGUGGGAACCUGCCUUUAGGUUCGGAAUAACUCAGAGAAAUUUGAGCUAAUACCGGAUGAUGUCUUCGGACCAAAGAUUUAUCGCCUUUAGAUGGGCCCGCGUUGGAUUAGCUAGUUGGUGGGGUAAAGGCCUACCAAGGCGACGAUCCACAGCUGGUCUGAGAGGAUGAUCAGCCACACUGGGACUGAGACACGGCCCAGACUCCUACGGGAGGCAGCAGUGGGGAAUAUUGGACAAUGGGCGAAAGCCUGAUCCAGCAAUGCCGCGUGAGUGAUGAAGGCCUUAGGGUUGUAAAGCUCUUUUACCCGAGAUGAUAAUGACAGUAUCGGGAGAAUAAGCUCCGGCUAACUCCGUG
rnacentral:rRNA from 1 species